GAGGAUAACGGGUGAGCGUGUGCUCAGCUGCUUAGUCGUGUCCGGCUCUUUACAACCCUGUGGACUGUAGCCCACCAGGCUUCUCUGUUCAUGGGAUUCUCCAGGCCAGAAUACUGGAUGCAAGUAGUCUAUAUAAAGAGACUUCCGUGCUCAGAAGAUGGUGUAUUCAGCUGUAGGACUACGUUCUACUUAAUUCUUGGAGACGUCAGUGGUAUGCCGAGAAAACAGACUCACAAGAGCUGGCCACCAUUAAGAGGUGUGGACAGAGAACUGAUGACAAAUGUUAAAAUCUCGUAAAAAGGAAAAAAAAGAAAACUACAGGCCAAUAUCACUGAUGAACAUAGAUGCAAAAAUCCUUAACAAAAUUCUAGCAAUCAGAAUCCA